rnacentral:rRNA from 1 species
GGGCGCAAGCCUGAUGCAGCGACGCAGCGUGAGGGACGAAGGCCUUCGGGUUGUAAACCUCUUUCGGCGGGGACGAUGAUGACGGUACCCGCAGAAUAAGCCCCGGCUAACUUCGUGCCAGCAGCCGCGG